rnacentral:lncRNA from 1 species
GGAUUAUUGGAAACCUACAAGGAAGCGGCUUAAAAUGUAUUUUCCUUCUGCAUAUCAACCCAAGCAAUGCUUGUCUAAAUAAAGCAAUUUACUAUUUAACUAGAAAAAUACUAUUUCCUCUUACAGAUUAUAGGAAGGUAACUUUGAUGAUAUUUUUUUAAUCAGUUUAUGAUUGCGAAACUGGGAAAUUUUGUAAACACUCUAAUUUUGGCAAGACACAAGUAAUUCCCGGUCAAAGAAAUGAAAUAUUAUAC